rnacentral:rRNA from 1 species
UUUCGAUGGUAGGAUAGGGGCCUACCAUGGUGAUGACGGGUAACGGGGAAUAAGGGUUCGAUUCCGGAGAGAGGGCCUGAGAAACGGCCCUCAGUCCUAAGGGACGCAGCAGGCGCGCAAAUUAUCCAAUCCCGACACGGGGAGAUAGUGACAAUAAAUAACAAUAUAGGGCUCUUUUGGGUCCUAUAAUUGGAAUGAGUACAAUUUAAAUCCCUUAACGAGGAUCAAUUGGAGGGCAAGUCUGGUGCCAGCAGCCGCGGUAAUUCCAGCUCCAAUAGCGUAUAUUAAUGUUGUUGCCGUUAAAAAGCUCGUAGUCGAACUUCGGCCUCUGCCACCCGGUCCGCCUAUUUGGGUGUGUACUGGAGUGGUGGAGGCUUACCUCGUGGUGAACGGCCAUGUCCUUUACUGGGUGUGGUCGGGAACCAUGACUUUUACUGUGAAAAAAUUAGAGUGUUCAAAGCAGGCUUACGCCCGAAUACAUUAGCAUGGAAUAAUAAAAUAGGACGUGCGGUCCUAUUUUGUUGGUUUCUAGGAUCGCCGUAAUGAUUAAUAGGGAUAGUUGGGGGCAUUCGUAUUCAAUUGUCAGAGGUGAAAUUCUUGGAUUUAUUGAAGACGAACUACUGCGAAAGCAUUUGCCAAGGAUGUUUUCAUUGAUCAAGAACGAAGGUUAGGGGAUCGAAAACGAUCAGAUACCGUUGUAGUCUUAACAGUAAACGAUGCCGACUAGGGAUCGGAUGAGGUUUUUAAUGACUCAUUCGGCACCUGAAGAGAAAUCUUUAAGUCAGGUUCGGGGGGGAGUAUGGUCGCAAGGCUGAAACUUAAAGGAAUUGACGGAAGGGCACCACCAGGUGUGGAGCCUGCGGCUUAAUUUGACUCAACACGGGGAAACUCACCAGGUCCAGACACGACAAGGAUUGACAGAUUGAUAGCUCUUUCUUGAUUUCGUGGUUGGUGGUGCAUGGCCGUUCUUAGUUGGUGGAGUGAUUUGUCUGGUUAAUUCCGAUAACGAACGAGACCUUAACCUGCUAAAUAGCCCGGCCGACUUUGGUUGGUCGCUGGCUUCUUAGAGGGACUAUCGACGUCUAGUCGAUGGAAGUUUGAGGCAAUAACAGGUCUGUGAUGCCCUUAGAUGUUCUGGGCCGCACGCGCGCUACACUGACCGAACCAGCGAGUUAAUCACCUUGGCCGGAAGGCCUGGGUAAUCUUGUGAAAUUCGGUCGUGAUGGGGAUAGAGCAUUGCAAUUAUUGCUCUUCAACGAGGAAUACCUAGUAAGCGUGAGUCAUCAGCUCGCGUUGAAUUCGUCCCUGCCCUUUGUACACACCGCCCGUCGCUACUACCGAUUGAAUGGCUUAGUGAGA